GUAUCCUGGCUCAGGAUGAACGCUAGCUACAGGCUUAACACAUGCAAGUCGAGGGGCAGCAUGGUCUUAGCUUGCUAAGACUGAUGGCGACCGGCGCACGGGUGAGUAACACGUAUCCAACCUGCCGUCGUACUCUUGGACAGCCUUCUGAAAGGAAGAUUAAUACAAGAUGGCAUCAUGAGUCCGCAAGUGUUCACAUGAUUAAAGGUAUUCCGGUAGACGAUGGGG
rnacentral:rRNA from 1 species